GGCCUCGUGGCCCAAUGGCAAGGCGUCUGACUACGACAGAGGAGAGAGUGAUGCCUCCUAACCAGGAGAGUCAUCUUUACGAUUGCUUCUUCACGAUAAUCAGGAGAUUCUGGGUUCGACCCCCAGCGAGGUCA
rnacentral:tRNA from 1 species